AUUCAUAUUUCAUAAGCCUAGAAAAUAUUCCUGAGAAAUUAAUGCUGUUUUCUGGGUCAUAGGUAAGCCCCACUAUAGGGUAUCGGCCUAUUCGUAUCACCCCUAGUUAUUUUGCUCUGUGUAUAGGAAACAUUUCACACGCUGCUUUUUGCCAAGCACUUGACUGUUGAGUGGCGAUUGUUGUUGCUGUUGUUGUUGUUGUUGCUGUCGAAAAUGUUGGGGUUCGUUGCCGUUGUCGACGGUAUAGCAUAGUUUUUGUUGUUGUUCCUGGUGUUCUCUGGUUAUAUAGUAUAGGUAUAGCCCCAUUUGGUACUGCUCUGUUGCCAGUUGCUCGCGUGUGCUGUGUGUUAUCAACUUCAGUUCAGUUGCUGGCUGCAAGGCGCGACGCUUGCACGUUCGUCGUCUGUCUGCCAGAAGUCUGCUGCCCGGGAAAUAAUAUCGGGUAUAUGGAGGGGUGGAGGGGGGCUAUACCUACUAUACCUCUCACCGGGGUAAUCGGUUUGAGUUCAUUUUCAUUUAAAUGGAAUUAAAUAUGGUAAAUGAUGAAAUCAAGGCGGGCGAGUGAGACAGCAGCUGUCGUGUGUGGUGAGGUUUACAAACAUACAUACAUAUAGCCCCCCCUACAUACAUACGUACAUACACCAUAUUAUACACAGAGAGAUAUAGAGAUGCUUUUUGUGUGUGGUGAAGAUAUUAGCUCACCGAUUUUCCGCCAACAAUGCAGGUGCGCUGCAAUAGGCCCAAAUCGCUGGUAUUUCGUUUGCUGCGCAUUCUUCGGCUGCUGAU